UAGCUGGCCAACGACUCCAUGCACCUGCAAAGACUUCUGGCAAACUGAUGAGCGAACGAUUGAAGAAUUAAAGUUGUCAAUUCAGAAAAGCAUAUAUACCGCCAUCUGUUGGAAUGAAAGAUAACAUUUUAUAAUGUGCUGUGAAAAAAUUAUUCCUGUUUACUCGUAAUGACAGUAUAUUGUUUGUUACAUGGAUACCGAUAGUUAAUGUUAAAAAUCAAAUACUGCUUCCUUUUAACCUUUCAUUAAAAAUAAAUAUCAGUGAAGGAGUUAUUUUAUCAUAAAAUUUUGUUAUUUUUUGAUGUUGUUUCAGUGAGAUAUUUUUAAACAAAAUCAAUGCAGUUAUAAUGGUUCAAUAAAAUGUUCCUACUUUUAC